UGUAUACAUGCUGCCCUUCACUGGCUCUACAGGCAAGAAAGGACAUGACAAGUAGAGGACUCUGAGUUGUCAAGGGCUGCUUAAGCCAGGACACAGCCUGAGAAAAGAGGACAAGGAAAUCAAAGACAACACAAUAGUGACCUUAGAGGAAAUGGUCCUAUCAGGGCAGCAGGAAGGUGAAAGCUGUAGACCCGCCUUGACCUGGGAGCUGUCUGCUUCCAGAGGCUGCCAUGAGCUCCAGGCUUCUCUGCUGUGUGGCCCUGUGUCUCCUGGGAGCAGGCCCAGCAGAUUCUGCAGUCACACAAACCCCCAAAUAUGUGGUCAAAGCAAAAAGCCAGCCAGUGACCCUGAACUGCUCCUAUGAAACUGGACAUUUUAAUGUGUUUUGGUACCAACAGACCCUGAAGCAAGGUCUCCAGUUCCUGUUUCGGUAUAGUGAUGGGAAAGAGAUGGACAAAGGAAGUACCCCUGCCCGGUUCUCAGUGCAGCAGAAGUCCGAGGACCAUCACUCUGAGCUGACUGUGAGCUCCUUGGAGCUGGAGGACUCAGUCCUGUAUCUCUGUGCCAGUAGCAUGGCACAGCCCUGCACCAGCCACAGCCUGGAGCACAAAAACCUUCCUGCCCAGGCCAGGAAGUGA